rnacentral:rRNA from 1 species
GAGGUAUAAAUUACUACCCUGGACAUGCCCGAUCUUGUCUGAUCUUGGAAGCUAAGCAGGACUGGGGCUAGUUAAUACUUCGGUGGGAGAAAACACUUGUCUUUUGACUAGA